rnacentral:rRNA from 1 species
AGAGUUUGAUCCUGGCUCAGGACUAACGCUGGCGGCGUGCCUAACACAUGCAAGUCAAGGAGAACGUUUCCUUCGGGGAACUAUUAAACUGGCGGACGGGUGAGUAAUGCAUAGGUAACCUGCCCUGGAGACUGGGAUAACUUCGCGAAAGCGAUGCUAAUACCGGAUAAUGCAGCGGACCCUAAGGGGUACAGUUGUUAAAGCGGGCUUCGGCUCGUACUUCAGGAUGGGCCUAUGUCCGAUUAGCUUGUUGGUGAGGUAAAAGCUCACCAAGGCUAUGAUCGGUAGCUGGUCUGAGAGGAUGAUCAGCCACACUGGGAUUGAGAUACGGCCCAGACUCCUACGGGAGGCAGCAGUGGGGAAUCUUGCGCAAUGGGCGAAAGCCUGACGCAGCAACGCCGCGUGACUGAUGAAGCUUCUAGGAGUGUAAAGGUCUGUCGUGAGGGAAGAACAGUAUCCAUGUAAAUAGCAUGGGCAUUUGACGGUACCUCACAAGAAAGCACCGGCUAACUUCGUGCCAGCAGCCGCGGUAAUACGAGGGGUGCUAGCGUUGUCCGGAAUCACUGGGCGUAAAGGGCGCGUAGGCGUCUUAGCAAGCCUUGAUUGAAAUCCCCCGGCUCAACCGGGGAACUGGUCAGGGAACUGCUAGGAUAGAGUUUGGUAGGGGAGAGCGGAAUUCCUGGUGUAGCGGUGAUAUGCGUAGAUAUCAGGAGGAACACCUAAAGCGAAGGCAGCUCUCUGGGCCAAUACUGACGCUGAGGCGCGAAAGCGUGGGGAGCAAACAGGAUUAGAUACCCUGGUAGUCCACGCCGUAAACGAUGAGCACUUGGUGUCGGGGGAUUCGACCCCC